CACGUAGGGCGCAAGCGUUGUCCGGAAUUAUUGGGCGUAAAGAGCUCGUAGGCGGUCUGUUGCGUCCGCUGUGAAAACUCGGGGCUUAACCCCGAGCCUGCAGUGGAUACGGGCAGACUAGAGGUAGGUAGGGGAGAAUGGAAUUCCCGGUGUAGCGGUGAAAUGCGCAGAUAUCAGGAGGAACACCGGUGGCGAAGGCGGGUCUCUGGGCAGUAACUGACGCUGAGAAGCGAAAGCGUGGGGAGCGAACAGG
rnacentral:rRNA from 1 species